rnacentral:tRNA from 1 species
AUUUCAUUAGUAAAAUUAUAUUACGUUAUCUUGAUAAGGUAAAAUUCUUAGGAUGAAAUA